rnacentral:rRNA from 1 species
UAAACGACUCUCGGCAACGGAUAUCUCGGCUCUCGCAUCGAUGAAGAACGUAGCGAAAUGCGAUACUUGGUGUGAAUUGCAGAAUCCCGUGAACCAUCGAGUCUUUGAACGCAAGUUGCGCCCGAAGCCAUUAGGCCGAGGGCACGUCUGCCUGGGCGUCACACGUCGUUGCCCCCCCCCAAAACCCCUGUCGGGGUCGGGCGGGAMCGAUGAUGAUCUCCCGUGUGCCGGUCACGCGGUUGGUCUAAAUAUCAA